rnacentral:rRNA from 1 species
GCGGUAGCAGGAGGUGCUUGCACCUUGCUGACGAGCGGCGGACGGGUGAGUAAAGCGUAGAUAUCUGCCUUUUAGUGGAGGACAACCUGGGGAAACUCAGGCUAAUACUGCAUAAUCUCUACGGAGCAAAGCGGGGCUCUUCUACCCUCGCGCUAAAAGAUGAGUCUACGUCUGAUUAGCUAGUUGGUGGGGUAACGGCCUACCAAGGCGACGAUCAGUAGCUGGUCUGAGAGGAUGAUCAGCCACAUCGGGACUGAGACACGGCCCGGACUCCUACGGGAGGCAGCAGUGGGGAAUAUUGGACAAUGGGCGCAAGCCUGAUCCAGCCAUGCCGCGUGUGUGAAGAAGGCUUUCGGGUUGUAAAGCACUUUCAGUGAGGAGGAAGGCCUUAAGGUUAAUACCCUUGAGGAUUGACGUUACUCACAGAAGAAGCACCGGCUAACUCCGUGCCAGCAGCCGCGGUAACACGGAGGGUGCAAGCGUUAAUCGGAAUUACUGGGCGUAAAGCGCGCGUAGGCGGUUUGUUAAGCGGGUUGUGAAAUCCCCGGGCUUAACCUGGGAAUGGCAAUCCGAACUGGCAGGCUGGAGUGUGGUAGAGGGUAGUGGAAUUUCCGGUGUAGCGGUGAAAUGCGUAGAUAUCGGAAGGAACACCAGUGGCGAAGGCGGCUACCUGGACCAACACUGACGCUGAGGUACGAAAGCGUGGGGAGCAAACAGGAUUAGAUACCCUGGUAGUCCACGCUGUAAACGAUGAGAACUAGCCGUUGGGGAUCUUGAAUCUUUAGUGGCGCAGCUAACGCACUAAGUUCUCCGCCUGGGGAGUACGGCCGCAAGGUUAAAACUCAAAUGAAUUGACGGGGGCCCGCACAAGCGGUGGAGCAUGUGGUUUAAUUCGACGCAACGCGAAGAACCUUACCUGGCCUUGACAUGCUGCGAACUUCCCAGAGAUGGGAGGGUGCCUUCGGGAGCGCAGACACAGGUGCUGCAUGGCCGUCGUCAGCUCGUGUCGUGAGAUGUUGGGUUAAGUCCCGUAACGAGCGCAACCCUUAUCCCUAGUUACCAGCACUUCGGGUGGGCACUUUAGGGAGACUGCCGGUGACAAACCGGAGGAAGGUGGGGAUGACGUCAGGUCAUCAUGGCCCUUACGGCCAGGGCUACACACGUGCUACAAUGGCGCGCACAGAGGGCUGCUAAGCCGCGAGGUGGAGCUAAUCUCUCAAAACGCGUCGUAGUCCGGAUUGCAGUCUGCAACUCGACUGCAUGAAGUCGGAAUCGCUAGUAAUCGCGAAUCAG